AAAAGUGAAAUUAGGUUACUCUUUUUAAUUUUGGAACUUUUAUUGAAGCUAAAAAUUACCGGGGUUAAACUAGGAUUAGAUACCCUACUAUACUGGUAAAUGUGAGUGACCUUAAAUUAUUAAUAGAUAUGUUCUUAAAACUUGAAGAAUUUGGCGGUGGUUUAAUCUUGUUAGAGGAACCUGUUUUUGGAUCGAUACACCACGCAGAAUCUUACUCAAGUUUGUAUACCGUCAUUAUCAGAUGAUCUUUAAAAGGUAAAUUGUUGAAGUUUAUAAAGAUAAAUUAAAUUAGAUCAAGGUGCAGCUUAUAGGUGAGUUAAAAUGGGUUACAAUAAAAUUUAUUUAUAACGAAGUGACUAAUAAUUAUGAAGGAGGAUUUAAUUGUAUGUGAAGUUAAUAAGUUUGAAAGAUAUAAGCUCUAAACCAUGUACAUAUCGCCCGUCGCUCUC
rnacentral:rRNA from 1 species